rnacentral:rRNA from 1 species
UGGGGAAUAUUGGACAAUGGGCGCAAGCCUGAUCCAGCCAUGCCGCGUGAGUGAUGAAGGCCUUCGGGUCGUAAAGCUCUGUGGAGGGGGAAGAAUGCUUGCAGCAUCAGAUCCUGCAAUUUGACGGUACCCCUUUAGCAAGCACCGGCUAACUCCGUGCCAGCAGCCGCGGUAAUACGGAGGGUGCAAACGUUGCUCGGAAUUAUUGGGCGUAAAGCGCACGUAGGCGGACCAUCAAGUCGGUUGUGAAAUCCCUCGGCUUAACCGAGGACGUGCAUUCGAAACUGAUGGCCUUGAGUACUAAAGAGGAUCGCGGAAUUCCCGGUGUAGAGGUGAAAUUCGUAGAUAUCGGGAGGAACACCAGUGGCGAAGGCGGCGAUCUGGGUAGAUACUGACGCUGAGGUGCGAAAGCGUGGGGAGCAAACAG